AUGGCGGAGAUUGUUGCUUCCGCGGUGGUCGGCGAGACGGUUACGAGGGUCUCCAGCUUCAUCAUCGACAAGCCUGACAAGAGGCCAUGCGGCAGAGACGAGAUGGAGAGGCUGGAGAUGGCGCACAUCAAGAUGGAGACCGCGCUGCAGCUGUCCGACCGGUGGCAGAUCACCGCCGCGCCGGUGCUCCUCUGGCGGAGCAAGCUGAAGCGUGCCGCCCAGGAGUGCGACGACACGCUGCGCCACCUCACGCAGCGCCAGCGCGCCGUGGUAGAUGAAGAGCUCAGGCGGCAGGCGUCCUCGCUCCCCACGCGCAUCGCCCACGCGGUCAAGUCGCUCGUGUCAUCUCUCGUCAGCCGCGGCAAGGACGUCGGCGAACCGGUCCCCGUCCGGAGGUUCGAGAGGUUCGCGGAGGGCGCCGGCGAGUUCGUCAGGUUAGUGGAGCUGGGCGGGACCCCGCGGCAGCACCUCUUCUUCGACCCGCUCAUCGGCCACCUCCUCGCGGGCAAGACGGCGCGGUACCAGGCGCUGCAGGGCGGCAGGUUCUACUACCUCGGCAUCCGGCCCACGAGCUUCGCGGAGCGCGGGGUGGAGGCCAUGGUCGGCUUCGUCCUCCAGGACUUCAGGGCGCCCGCCAAGAGCUUCAGCUCGAGGUUCAUGCUGCGCCUAUCCGAGAGCAGCGACGUGCUCGGGAUCAUAGCGAGGUGCAUGCAGGCGGUGACGCCGCACCUCAAGGCCGCCGCGGAAGGCUUCACGAGGGAGCUCGUCCAGCUUCCCACGCAGGAUUUCUCCUGGGUGGAGAGCUUGCCCUUCAGAGAGACUGAGUACUGGGUCGAUAUACACAGGACCUUGACCCAGUGCCUUCGUCCAGACCCGCUCUGCUGCAGCGGCCAUGACGGUUUCAUCGUGCCUUCCACCUGUAGCAGCAGCAAGAGCGACGGGCAAUCAUCGUUGUCACCAUCAAAGUCAAGGCUGGCGUGCACACUGUUUCCAGAGCAGGUGAUCACGGUCUACCUGCAAUGCCAUAUCUCGCCGCCGGCUCAAGCUCCGCACAAAACACAUGGAGGGAGUAGAAGAAGCUAUGUGAAAACUCCAGGUUUGAAGUUGUCGGUCGUUUUUAUUCCCCAUGACUUCCCGGAGGGCAUAGAGCCUCAGGACGAGAGCUUUGCCUUCGAGGUGAUCGACGGGGAGGAGCAGGAAACGGUCCAUCGAAAUGCGACCUUGCAAGACGUGGACGAGAAGCUGCUCCCCAAGGCAGUGGAUCACCUCCGGAGCACCGAAUCCAAGAUGUAUCAGCUGUGCCUCAGGUCCAGGCAUGGCACCGCGCAGCUCUGCGUGGAGAAGACGACGCCGGCAACGCGUGUGCCAAGCAAAGGAACCGCCGCAUCACGGUUGCAUAUCAAUGGAAGCAAAAGAGUGGUGGACCGGAAACGAGAGGAUUACAGAAUAAAGGGAUGGCAGGACGCGUCGAGAGACCUGCUCAAGCUAUGGGUCGUGCGUGCCUCUGACAAGCUGCACGGCUCACUCAGCUCCUGGACUGUCAGGUCCCCUCUGCAGAGCUAA
rnacentral:rRNA from 1 species